AGUAAAAUCGAAACCGCCGGAAAAACAACAUCGAAACGCUCGGAGGAAAGGAACGCGAUGUCCUUGCCUCAGUAACAGAAAAAGACAGUCGCUACGGGUCUACGGUCGCGAUCGGUCGAGCAAUCUCGCCGUGUACCGGGUGAUAAAAGUUUCUAUAUUUUUUCUCGCGACGACGAUGAUCCGCGGUUCGCGUUACUACUACUCGCGGGGCCCUGCCGGCAACAAACACAAUAGACAUCGUUUACGACGACGUCUGGACGUCUCCCCAAGCUGGAGACUCCAACGGAACCUGGUUUCCGCACGAUCGCGAUUCAAAAUCACCAAAGGGAACUGUUUCCCAAAAAACCCGGUGUCACGCGAUGAACUGAUCGCUGACGGGCGCCCAACCUUUGUGUACACAUUAUAUCAUCAAACGCGACACACUCACACAUGCCUCAAUCAUACGACUUUAAUAUUCUAAUGCUCCUGUGGAUCCGCUUCAUUAGCUUCAGCUGCCGUUACGGAGAAAUAAAUGCACGUUAGUGCUAAAGCAGGAAGAUAAUUAGCAAUUGAAAGAGAUGAUGUCAUUGACGGUAUGAUUCCUGAAGAAAAAGAUCCUACUGCAGUAGCGGUUAUGAUUCUUCAUCCAGGACGGCUGGUAAAGUUCCAUCCAGAUGAGAUUUACGGGAAGAAAAUCGGAAAGGAAAGUAUUUCAAAAUAAAUGGUUAAGUAUGGUAUAAAUCGACGUAACUGUAUUUAUUCAAUUUAUUGCGAAAUAGUAUAUAAGAACAAAUAGAAGAAAGAAAAAGGGGACUCGAUUUCUUGAAUAUAAACGGAAUUAAACAAACAACAUACAAAAACACGCGUUCUUAACGGACCGAGAAUCGACUAUUGUCGAAUAAACAUGCGGUUUGAAAUAUAAUAUUUCCUUUUCGCAGAACGCUGCGUGAUCUCGAAUUCCCGGACGAUUACGUAAUCGUUUGCUGUCGAAGUUAUAUUGUUACUAGGGGGCGGUGCCCCCUGGCCGCUUCACGGCCCAACCCCCCGAGGCGCUUCGCGCCUAUUUCGUGCGAAUACAUUUCUAA